AGCUCUGAUAGUCUAGUGGUUAGAGCGUCCGGCGCGGAUGCGUGAGGGCGUGGGUUCGAUCCCCGAUUGAGUCA